ensembl:rRNA 5S_rRNA 5S ribosomal RNA
UCUACACAGCAAUAUCACCCUGCAGCCUAAGACUAUUUACUAACUGAAGCUAAGCAGGGCUGAGCCUGGUCAGUACCUGGAUGGGAGACCACAUGGGAAAACUAGGUUUCUGGUGGAU